rnacentral:tRNA from 1 species
UGUUCCAUAGCUCAGUACGGUAGAGCAGUCGACUGAAAAUCGACCGGUUGAGGGUUCGACUCCCUCUUGAAGAU